rnacentral:rRNA from 1 species
AUUGAACGCUGGCGGCAGGCCUAACACAUGCAAGUCGAGCGAGCGGCGGACGGGUGAGUAAUGUCUGGGAAACUGCCUGAUGGAGGGGGAUAACUACUGGAAACGGUAGCUAAUACCGCAUACAAUCAGAUGUGCCCAGAUGGGGUUAGCUAGUAGGUGAGGUAACGGCUCACCUAGGGGACGAUCCCUAGCUGGUCUGAGAGGAUGACCAGCCCCACUGGAACGGAGACACGGGCCAGACUCAUACGCGGGGCAGCAGUGGGGAAUAUUGAACGAUGGGCGCAAUCCUGAUGCAGCCAUGCGGCGUGUGUGAAGAAGGCCUUCGGGUUGUAAAGCAAUUUCAGCGGGGAGGCGUUACCCGCAGAAGAAGCACCGGCUAACUCCGUGCCAGCCGACGCGGUAAUAC